rnacentral:rRNA from 1 species
UACAGAGGGUGCAAGCGUUAAUCGGAAUUACUGGGCGUAAAGCGUGCGUAGACGGUUACAUAAGUCGGGUGUGAAAGCCCCGGGCUCAACCUGGGAAUUGCAUUCGAGACUGCGUAGCUAGGGUGCGGAAGAGGGAAGCGGAAUUUCGGUGUAGCGGUGAAAUGCGUAGAUAUCGGAAGGAACACCAGUGGCGAAAGCGGCUUCCUGGUCCAGCACCGACGUUCAGGCACGAAAAGCGUGGGGAGCAAACAGG